rnacentral:rRNA from 1 species
AAACGAACGCUGGCGGCAUGCCUAACACAUGCAAGUCGAACGAAGUCUUCGGACUUAGUGGCGCACGGGGUGCGUAACGCGUGGGAAUCUGCCCUUGGGUACGGAAUAACUCAGAGAAAUUUGUGCUAAUACCGUAUAAUGUCGUAAGACCAAAGAUUUAUCGCCCAAGGAUGAGCCCGCGUAAGAUUAGCUAGUGGUUGGUAAAAGCCUACCAAGGCGACGAUCUUUAGCUGGUCUGAGAGGAUGAUCAGCCACACUGGGACUGAGACACGGCCCAGACUCCUACGGGAGGCAGCAGUGGGGAAUAUUGGACAAUGGGCGAAAGCCUGAUCCAGCAAUGCCGCGUGAGUGAUGAAGGCCCUAGGGUUGUAAAGCUCUUUUACCCGGGAUGAUAAUGACAGUACCGGGAGAAUAAGCUCCGGCUAACUCCGG